CUACAUGUCUCAAUGUUCCGAUCUGAAGAAGGGAAUAAGGAAUCAGUCCAAGAAGUUUUUUGAAUGAGAUUGAAAGGUGAAAGAUUGAGCUGAGUAUUCUUCUUCUUGUUAUUAUUAUUGUUAUCUGGAAAACUAAGGCUAAGGCUUAACCCCAAAUCUUCUUUUUCAACCAUCAUUUUUGUUUGCUUUUUUUUAGAUUUCUUGAAGAAAAAUAGAGCUAAAAAAAAGAGCAGUGAUGUGAAAAGAAUUUAUUUAUUUUUUUCAGGUAAGAAAGAUGAGG
rnacentral:misc_RNA from 1 species